rnacentral:rRNA from 1 species
GCGCACGCUGGCGGCAGGCCUAACCCAUGCAAGUCGCACGAACUCUUCGGAGUUAGUGGCGGACGGGUGAGUAACACGUGGGAACGUGCCUUUUGGUUCGGAAUAACUCAGGGAAACUUGUGCUAAUACCGAAUGUGCCCUUCGGGGGAAAGAUUUAUCGCCAUUAGAGCGGCCCGCGUCUGAUUAGCUAGUUGGUGAGGUAACGGCUCACCAAGGCGACGAUCAGUAGCUGGUCUGAGAGGAUGACCAGCCACACUGGGACUGAGACACGGCCCAGACUCCUACGGGAGGCAGCAGUGGGGAAUCUUGCGCAAUGGGCGAAAGCCUGACGCAGCCAUGCCGCGUGAAUGAUGAAGGUCUUAGGAUUGUAAAAUUCUUUCACCGGGGACGAUAAUGACGGUACCCGGAGAAGAAGCCCCGGCUAACUUCGUG